GCUCAGCGAGAGAGUGAGAGAGCAAGCUCCGUCGAUAGGUCUACCAGCAACAGCCCUGCUGCAGCAAGAGGGGAGAGAGGCAGCAAGAGAGGCAGAGAGGGCUCCAGAGAGAGAAGUGACACCAACACCAGGGACUGGGCUCCUGCCACCAUCCAGUCUCAUUUAAAGAUCGUAUUCGGGCUCGGUUGGCGUAGGAGGCUUCGCCCAUCGACGAUGCUGGAGACCCGGCGCGCUUAAUCCCGCGGGGAGGGAGAGUGGGCAGACACCGAAAGGGUUAACGGAAAGGAAAUUUCUGGAACCUUCUAUUCUGCGGCGCUACACAGUGAGCGGAGGGCUGAGGACUGCGCAGAUGGUGCACGGGCAGAGCUCUUCGGUCCGGUUCGUCUUUCCCACCGACCAGCAAUGAAGAUGGCAACUCUGCCUGGAAGUGCUGAGGACACAACCAGCUUUGAGCUUGGUCCUUCUGGCUGAGGAAGUCUCCUGAUUAUGCAGUGGAGCGAUUCCAUAGGGAAUUUCAGACUCUUACCGCAGUCGUCACAACCCCUCCUGACUCACUGAGCCUUCGCUGGCUGUAGCUGGCUCCCUUGGAGCAUCCUUGCCUCCUGCAGCGCCAGUUCCGCAGAGCAGGGGAACAACAGGAAUAGCAGCGACGACGGUGGUCCCUGCAGCAAGACGGACAGGCAUAAAUACACACACAUAUAGAACGGUCCAAGGCAGCCGCGGAGGUAAUGCUCAGCUGAGGAGCGGGGCUAAGAAACGAUGCUUGGUUGCGUGGAAGACGGGUGGGUUGAGUCUGCUUUACCGAGUGCUGUCUGAAUGGAAAACCCUUUGCAUUUCUCCCCAUGGCAGUUGUGGGGCGGAGGACCCCAUUAAUUUGCAAAGCUAGUGCUUCCUAAUGGCAUUUCUCAGUCCUUUGGAAGAAGGUGCAAACGGCAGCCGGUUAUACUUGCGCAGGCAUAUACGUACUUUUUGAGUAUCUGUGUUCAGCGUAGGGAUGCAUUUGUUUUUAUUCCUUUCGCCACCAUCUUUUUGCCACAGCGAUAGUUUAAUUGUGACUAAAUGCAGGGAGGGUAAAGAGACAGAGAUAAAAGAGGAGUUAUUUCAAUGUUAAACUUCAGCUGUAAAUCUCAUUACUUGGGAAUUGAGGUUACUGUCAGCAGGUAAAUCUGUGGGACUGGCAAGAAACAAGGCUAAGAAGGGGACACGGCAUAUUUCUGUAGGACAGUAGCGAUUUUGCGCAUAGGGCUGGUAUUGUUACUGUAUGUUCGCUGUACGUGGCUAACUGUUCCAUAAUGGUUUUCUGCGCAUUGCCGCAAAAGGACUUGAGAAAGCUGCGAUUUCUUCCUCCCUCUGACACUUGUGUGUGUGUGACAUUGUGUAAGCUGAUUCAUUUUUCUGUAUUCUGGUUUCCUUCCUUUGUAAAGUGGGCUUUAUUAUAUCUCUCAGCCUUAGUGCGGCAUUAUGACGCAGCGUUCGUUAAUGCGUUGGGUCUGUUGGCAAAAUACGUGCAAUUUGCUUGGGAGUUUUGACUGUUCAAGAAUUGCAAAAUUUGGUAAAGAAAGUUAAGGAUUGCAAAUGCUCACGACAUAAAUUUAAAAGCGUUACCAUCUGAUUCUUCUUUGAUAUCGAAGGAGGGCUCUCUGACUGACGAGACAGCCAUGAUCUCUUCCUGCACUUGUUUUGCCGAUGGUCAUGUUACAUCUGUGACGCAGUCCGAUUUUGCUGUUGGGUCCAGUCUGUGCUUUACGGAGUUGAGCUGAUGAGGGCACAAGCUUGAAUACGGUUAGAAACAUUAAUGUAAUAUUGAUGUUAAAGGUCGCAACCAUACCUGAAGUGGCAGGAAUAUCAGCAUCCACCUAUUUCACCACCCCCAAACGGCGAAGGAAUUGGAAUGAACACAGCAGCACCCCUAGCCAUUUUGUUGCUCACAGAGUAGACUCUAAGCCUGCAGCGCUGCUGCUGCUGCUGCUGUUCAUUUCCAUGUCAUACAAAUACAGCGUUGGGCUCUGUGUCAGGAGCUUUACUGAUGCUGUGAGAAGCUUAAAGUCUACAAGCAAAUGUUUCUCUUUUCUUAUUUGGGAAAAUUGAUUAAAAUGUCCAAAUGCUAAAUAUUCUACCCCCAUUCCUUUUACAAAUCACUUCCAGGCCUAUCCAGAAAAUUCACUGCUGCCAUGUAUUUUUUUUCUAGAGCUUGUUCACCAUGUUUUCUUACAGUUUAAUACGGGUGUGGCUGGGGAAGGGUAAGAUUUUAGUUGGUUAAGUAUCUGUAUCGCUGCUGCUAAUGGGCAGAGAUGUAGGCAAGAGAUAUGAGUUGCCAAUAUCCUCUAUGUAUCUGUACAUAGAUAUAGGUAGUCCCACGCCUGGGUUGCGAAGAUGCCCGUGUUCUGGAAUGAGAAGGGAGUACUCCAUUCUGUUCUCACCCACCCAAAAGUCUUGGUGCAAAGGCGGCAGUAGACACGGCCAACGCGGGAAUCUCACAAAAUGGUUUCAACGGCAUUCAGAGAUGGCAGUGCCGUUUAUACUGGCACGGCUCCGAGAGAGGUACCGUGAGCCGCCUGCUGCAAGGUCAUUCCCCUGACUCAUUGUCAGCAACCAGUUGGUUCAGGAACUCCCAAUCCACAUUUCUUGCAAGACUGGCAGUGCUCGAGUCCUGAACCUGGGGCGGAGGCUCCAAAAUUAAUGCUACUGCAGUAGUGGGCCACUGAGUGCAAAAGCAUAGAUCCAAAAAAAUUCUGCGUCUCAGAAGUGUUUUAAAAUCCUUAUCUAUAAUUUCUUUCUUGAGCUAAGUACAAAAACUUAGCACUAGUUCCCUCAUCCCCUUUCCCCCAAGACUUCCUCUGGACUGCUGGGAAUCGGGCAGGUAUUUAAGAAUUAGGCAUCAACUAACAUUGUGUUCCAGGAAAAAAAAAAAAUCUGUAUAUAUUUGCAUUUCUGUCCCUGUAGUCUUUAUCAGGCGGACUCCGCAGGCUGCUCUGAGUUCACCAGUGUCUGUCAAGCCAGCGUUGUCUCACGUGCUUUCAGUUUCAGGUACCUCAGCUCAAUAGCUGUCUCGUCCCCUCCUGGGUUUCCACAGUUUUCUCCAGUGUUCCUAUUUGUCCAUGUCACCAGUAUUUUCAGUUGACUCAGGGCAACCAACCAUGGCUGUGCUAGGGCUGGCUCUAGUCUCCCCAGCAUCACAGGCAGCAGUGGAGUGGUUAACGUCCUGAGGAUUUGAGCUAAAUAGCUUAUUUUGUCCCCAUCUUUGCAAUAAUGAAGCUCAAUUUGGGGGAAUGUUACCUGGCUCCUUUCAAACAGAGAGGAACAUGGGGGCCAGUGCAGGACAAGCACGGAUGCGAGCGGACCCUUCCUGCUCCCAGUUUUGCCAGCCCACCUCCCCAAGCCCUGGGGCCGCCUCCUGCCCUGACCGUGCUUGAAGUCAGCCUUAGCCUUCAGCAUCAUUAUUCUCCAGCAUCAUUAUUCUCUAGUUUUCAAAGGGAAAGAACCUGGCUGCUAAUCCUGAUGCCAGUGACGACUCUUCGCCUACAGGGAGGCAUAUGUGAUAGCUUGUCUGCUAAAAACUGAGCCAACACAGUGUGAUUCAGACCUUAAGCUUUCCAAGGAAGAGAGCUAUUUCUGAGUUAAGCACAUCUCUUCAGCUCCCCACACAAACACUCUUUAUCCAGUGCAAAUGGUGCAUAGUAGGUGUCCAACAGCAGCCACUGGUUUUGUAUUUGGAUAUACAGCUCAAAUGCUUCUGAAACAUUUGACGAUGGCUCUCAAACAUACAGUGGAGUUUCAGUGAUAGACAGAAUGAUGGAACCAAACAGCUCACGUGCGCAGGGGACUCAGACGGAGUUUGGUCAGUGCUUUUCUCCACCUUUUUUGCCAGGUCCUUCUACUGCGGACAGUCUUAAGAUACGGCAGGGUAUUGAAGGCAUGUUUCAGAUGUCUGGUUUAAGGGCAGGUUAUACUUCAGUAAACAGCUGGCAGUAUUUGUUCCCUUAUUCUCUUCACUGGCACAGGACAUUCUUUUGUCUCUUGAACGACACAAAGAAAAAUACGACUUCCCUUGACAUUACCUGAGGUAGCUGGAACGGUGGCGUUGGGGGAACACCAUGUUCCUGAACUGACUAUACAAAUCACAACAAUCAUCUCCCUGUGACUGCUUUCAAGACCUGCAAUCAAUACUUUAUAUUCUAAGGUGAUGCUUAGGUACAGAAGUUAGCAAUAGAAAAUUACUUUUCUGGUCUCAGCUACUUUGGGGGAUAAUAUUUUUUACUGUAGCUAGUUUUGUAAUGUGCUGUUCAGUCAGGCUGUGUAUGGCUACAUUUGAUGAGAUUUCAGUGCUGCACCUUCCUACUGCUCUUCCACGACCCAGGUCAUGUAAGUCCAACGCUUUUUUUCCCCUGUGUAAGUUUGCCCAGUUUCACCUCAUCGUGCCUUGUAAAACCUGAAAUCCUCAAUAGGAUUCACCAGUUCAGUAGUUCCUGUGCCCUCCAAACAGGCUGUGGUUUUUGCCUAGGAACUCUCAUGAAAGCAAAGGCAGCAGAAAACUGUCUGACUCUGGGCAGGUCAAAGCAAUUUCAGAUGAGCAGCUGGGAAGCAGAAGAUUAGAAACCAUAGCCCUAAUAUCUAGCACUCCUAGAAUGGUAACCGUGCUCCCUUUAGUUCAGAAUAGCUUUGGGGCAAGCAAUAACAAAUAGCAAAUAAGUGUUAUAUUUUACUUAGCAGUCUGAAACAAAGUUCUGGGAUUUAAAAAAAACCAAACAAACAGGUCUUGUGAAUAAAUCCUAACUAUUUUAGUGA